rnacentral:lncRNA from 1 species
AUGAUCACAGCGGAAACCGUUUAUUUGGGAAGAAAUAGAGCCCGCCUCCACCUUCCCAGAGGCACUGCAGCCCGUCCUGCCUGGAGGCGGCGGGAAGCGGAUGAGGGAGGUCGGGAGGGCGGGCCCUUACCGCCGCCCGGGGGCGUUCCUCGGUUCCUCGGGGAGCGGCCCCGCCGCCCCUCAGUGCCGAAUCCAGGGGGUGGCCGACGGCUCUCGCCAGGGGAUUCGCUGCUCCCUCAGGGGCGGUGCUGCGAGAAAAGGCGGGAAGGCGGCUGCUCGUCUCUGUGUGCUGCGUUCGGCGCGACACAAUGGCAGUGGUGCGAGCGCGGGGCAAGGGUUUCCUCACAUGCAGAACCUGAAGGGCUUUAAGGAAAAUGCAUGAGCUCAGUAACAGCUUGCCAGUGCCAAAGAAUAUGCCCUUGUCAGUGGAGUGAAACAGAGGGAUAGCUUAGCACCUGCCUGCAACUGAGUUCCUGACCUCUGCUUUACAGUACCUUUUGGUUUUAGAAAAGAGGUUGAUCUACAUCAAGGAUAUCACCAUUUCUUUAAAAUUAAUUCAGCUCAAUGUGUGUUAGAGUAUUCUGUCACUUCAGGCAUGGUAAGAUGCUCAACCGCAGUUUCAUGUGCAUACAUGGUUGUUUAGUGAUGUCUUUUUUUCCUCUCAUACUACCUAGAUUGUUUCAGUACUCUUUGUUGCCAAAAAUAUUCUAAGAAUGCAUUUACUGUCCCCAAAACUACAGUAUGGCUAAUUUGUAAAUGAAUAUACAUUCAAAUUCUUAUGUUCAGAUCAUUCAGUAUUGAUCUUGCAGGCCAGUCUAAGAGCUGAGUCCUGAGUUCAAGGUAUUCUUCUGAACAAGAAGCAAAAGUGAAGAGGCAGUAAUUGCAACAAUAAUUUUUGGUGGUUCACUUUAAACAUUUCCAGAAAUGCUCUAAAAGGCUUCUGAAAAUCAAAGAGAUUGUGGGGAUAACGUACCAAAGUUACUUCUGGAAACGGCACUUAGGAGCCUGAGACAUCUGGAAUGCAGACUACUAAAUGUGCUAUAUAACCUCAGAGGUUUUGUUAUGGAGAUGUAAAACCGGAAUAAAUUUCACAAACUGUGGUCUUUAAAUUAAUUU